AAAAUAAUAAGCUAAGAUUUAAGCUAUUGGACUCAUAUUUCAAUUAUAGGAUAAAAUCUUUUAUUUUA
rnacentral:tRNA from 1 species